AUUGAACGCUGGCGGAAUGCUUUACACAUGCAAGUCGAACGGCAGCACGGACUUCGGUCUGGUGGCGAGUGGCGAACGGGUGAGUAAUGUAUCGGAACGUGCCCAGUCGUGGGGGAUAACGUAGUGAAGAUUACGCUAAUACCGCAUACGAUCUAUGGAUGAAAGCGGGGGAUCGCAAGACCUCGCGCGAUUGGAGCGGCCGAUAUCAGAUUAGGUAGUUGGUGGGGUAAAGGCCCACCAAGCCCACGAUCUGUAGCUGGUCUGAGAGGACGACAAGCCACACUGGAACUGAGACACGGUCCAGACUCCUACGGGAGGCAGCAGUGGGGAAUUUUGGACAAUGGGCGAAAGCCUGAUCCAGCCAUUCCGCGUGCAGGAUGAAGGCCCUCGGGUUGUAAACUGCUUUUGUACAGAACGAAAAGGUUUCUACUAAUACUAGGAGCUCAUGACGGUACUGUAAGAAUAAGCACCGGCUAACUACGUGCCAGCCGCCGCCGUAA
rnacentral:rRNA from 1 species